CUCAGUGCGGGGAGUGCAGCUGGAUGAGACACACUUGCUAGAGCCUGUACUGGGGGAUCGUCUGUCUGUCUGCUGACCUGUAAGCUGCUUCAUCAUUAAUAUCUGGCGGGAGCUGAGCCAUAUUGUGGGACCAAGACCAACUUCAGGAUUCCAACCUGUAAAACUGACAAGCACAACUGCUGUCACCACUGUCACUGCCCACCACCACCCUCCUCACCUGGCUUCCCCCACCACCUCCACCCUCACCUGUCUAACUUCACCAACAUUACUUCUCCAAUGCUGACAUCCCCACCCAGAACACCUACAGUGAGAAAUUGUUUUGUGAAGAUUCUUGGUUGAAUGUUCAGCCAAUUUUAUAAAGUUUUGAUUAGUUGUUACUUGUUAUUUAUUCUGAUGAUUUUUAUGGAGAAUGUCAUGUUUAGCAUGUGGUCAAGAUGGUUGAUGACCCAUAUGUUUUACUAGUUUCAUUAUUUUGUUAUCUUCAACCUGGCUUUUCUAGUCUCUUUGGCUAGUUAUAGGAAAAUAUUUCCAGAGAACCCCAUUUUAUACAUUGAUUACAGACUGCCUAUGACAUUGUUAGACUAUCAGUUUCAAAACAGAUCUCUUUCUCUCUAUAUAUGUGUUAUUAUGACUGUUUUGUUCUACUUGUGCAAUAAACAAUCUUUUUGUGCA